rnacentral:rRNA from 1 species
UACGUAGGGACCAAGCGUUGUCCGGAAUCACUGGGCGUAAAGGGUGCGUAGGCGGGUCUUUAAGUCAGGGGUGAAAUCCUGGAGCUCAACUCCAGAACUGCCUUUGAUACUGAGGAUCUUGAGUUCGGGAGAGGUGAGUGGAACUGCGAGUGUAGAGGUGAAAUUCGUAGAUAUUCGCAAGAACACCAGUGGCGAAGGCGGCUCACUGGCCCGAUACUGACGCUGAGGCACGAAAGCGUGGGGAGCAAACAGG